CAGGGAGACAACAAAAUGUUUAAUAUUAUUAUUUUGUCACCUUAGGUCGAUCGGUAUCUCACGUUCUUAAUUUAUUAAGAAUUUCAUUUCCUAAGUUUUUCUAGGUCACACCCAUUAUUUUUCCUGGGCCAUUAGCUCAGGUGGUUAGAGCGCACCCCUGAUAAGGGUGAGGUCCCUGGUUCAAGUCCAGGAUGGCCCAUAUCUCUAUGUUGGGGGUAUAGCUCAGUUGGUAGAGCGCCUGCUUUGCAAGCAGGAUGUCAGCGGUUCGAGUCCGCUUACCUCCACUGAUUACCACCUCUUCCAUAACCGGUAGAAAGGAAAUGUUUUGAGUUGUGAUCAUUAUUCUGAACGAAUCUAGCUUCCUAAUGAAAUCAUUAAGAUGCUGGACUCAUUGAAUUAAUUUCAUUGUUUUCAGAGAACCUUGACAACUGCAUAGAUUAUUUUUAAAGACAAUAAGCAUCUUUAAUGAUGCAGAUUUAUUAUUUGUGCGAAUGCAUUAAUAACAAUUCUAUUGAGCUGAUGCUUCAAUUUUUGAAGUUAUU
rnacentral:tRNA from 1 species